GUAGCCUUAGCUCAGUUGGUAGAGCACUGAACUAAAUGUUUAGGGAUGCUAGUUCAAAUCCAGCAGGUUACG
rnacentral:tRNA from 1 species